UUUCGCCUACGGGGGGCAGCAGUGGGGGAUAUUGCACAAUGGGGGGAACCCUGAUGCAGCGACGCCGCGUGGGUGAAGAAGUAUUUCGGUAUGUAAAGCCCUAUCGGCAGGGAAGAAAUUGGACGGUACCUGACUAAGAAGCCCUGGCUAACUACGUGCCAGCAGCCGCGGUAAUACGUAGGGGGCAAGCGUUAUCCGGAAUUUCUGGGUGUAAAGGGAGCGUAGACGGUGAUGCAAGUCUGGAGUGAAAGGCGGGGGCCCAACCCCCGGCCUGCUCUGGAAACUGUAUGACUUGAGUGCAGGAG
rnacentral:rRNA from 1 species